CAACCUGCCCAUCACUUGGGGAUAACCUUGCGAAAGUAAGACUAAUACCCAAUGAUAUCUCUAGAAGACAUCUGAAGGAGAUUAAAGAUUCAUCGGUGAUGGAUGGGGAUGCGUCUGAUUAGCUUGUUGGCGGGGUAACGGCCCACCAAGGCGACGAUCAGUAGGGGUUCUGAGAGGAAGGUCCCCCACAUUGGAACUGAGACACGGUCCAAACUCCUACGGGAGGCAGCAGUGAGGAAUAUUGGUCAAUGGGCGAGAGCCUGAACCAGCCAUGUAGCGUGCAGGAUGACGGCCCUAUGGGUUGUAAACUGCUUUUAUAAGGGAAUAAAGUGAGCCUCGUGAGGCUUUUUGCAUGUACCUUGUGAAUAAGGACCGGCUAAUUCCGUGCCAGCAGCCGCGGUAAUACGGAAGGUCCGGGCGUUAUCCGGAUUUAUUGGGUUUAAAGGGAGCGUAGGCCGGAGAUUAAGCGUGUUGUGAAAUGUAGAUGCUCAACAUCUGCACUGCAGCGCGAACUGGUUUCCUUGAGUACGCACAAAGUGGGCGGAAUUCGUGGUGUAGCGGUGAAAUGCUUAGAUAUCACGAAGAACUCCGAUUG
rnacentral:rRNA from 1 species